GCAGCGAACCAGACAUGUGUCUGGUUGUACGCGCUGGCGAGGAACCGAGCAAGCGAGCACAAGUUCCCAGUCUCCCUCCCCAUCCCCCAAUUCCCAAACCUAGCGGCCGGCGCCGCGGCGGCGGGUGGCGCGUGGGCGGAGGGUGGCGCGUGGGUGGCGGCGAAUCCAGGUCCGGCCGGCCCUCUCCUUCCCUCCCCUCUGCAGUACUGCCCUUCCGGCCUCGGCUUCCGGGCUCGGGUAGUCCAGCUCCGUCCCUCCCCUGCCCGAACUUCAUCUGGUCCGCCUCCGGUUUCCUCCGCCUCCGAGAUCCGGCCGGCCUCCAGUGCUCCCUCGACGGCUCCACUGCUGACCGUCUCCUUCCCGAACUGCAUCUGGUCCGCCUCUGAUGAAGAAGAAAGAUGUUAGCUUGUUUGAAUUGUGGGGCAAAUCUUCAAAGGCAAGGAAAAUAAGUUCUACAUCCACAUCAACUCCUCUUUCCGUUGAGGUUGAGAGCAACCUGCAGCUAGCACUAGUGCAUACACAUGACGAAGCUCCGCAACCGGAGAGGGAGAGAGGCUCCCGUCCCCAAUUGUAGAAGAUGAUGAAGCGGUUGAUGAAGAUGAGGAACCAAGUCCCCAAUUUGAAGCAGAUUUGAAGGCUCUGGAACGUGUUCCUGGCAAGCGACUUGCCAUAUCUUCAUAUCAUGUCAAUGACCAGGAUGUAGUUAGAAGGAGAUACAUUGACUUGGGAGCUUGUCAACCAAAGAGUCACAAAUUUGAGAUCAGAGAUUUUAGUGGACAUCCCCGCCGCUUUUGCCCAUCUUGGUUUAAGGAUCAUAUGUGGCUUGAGUACAGUGUGAAAGAAGAGGCUGCUUUCUGCUUUGUUUGCUUUUUGUUCAAGGAUAAAACAAAAAGUCCCGGAGGAGAUGCAUUUGUGAAUGGUGGGUUUAAUAAUUGGAACAUGAAAUCAAGAUUGAAGAGGCAUAUUGGUACUGUCAGUAGUGCUCACGCUGAAGCUCAAGAAAAAUAUGAUAUGUUCACUACGCCUACAACAUCAAUUAUUGAGUCUAUUGCUUCAAACACCACACAAUACAAGGCUUUGUAUAAAUAGUGUUUGACAUGAACACUCAAGUGUGUGAGAUUUCUGUUGCGCCAAGGCUUGGCAUUUAGGGGGCAUGAUGAAAGUGAAGCAGAGUCGCUAAAUAAAGGAAAUUUCCUUGAGCUUCUAAAUUGGCUAGCAGGAAAUUUUGAAGAGGUUGUCAUGGUUGUUCUCAAGAAUGCUCCACGGAACUGCAAGAUGACUCACCAUGACAUACAACUAGAGGUGAUAAAAUGUUGUGCACAAGAGACUACUAAACUAGUCAUUGAAGAACUUGAUGGUGGUCAUUUUGCAAUACUUGUAGAUGAGUCUAGUGAUGUGUAUCAGAAUGAACAGUUGGCUGUUUGCUUGCAUUAUGUUGAUAAGAAAGGAAGGUUGGUUGUAAGAUUUCUUGGUCUUGCUCAUGUUUAAGAUACCACCUCUUUGACACUAAAAGCUGCAAUUCAGAAAAUGCUUAUGGACUACAAUUUGACCAUUGCAAUGGUUCGUGGGCAAGGAUAUGAUGGAGCUAGUAAUAUGAGAGGUAAUGCUAAUGGCCUGAAAAAACUGAUUAUGGAUGAGUCCCCUUCUGCCUACUAUAUUCAUUAGUUUGCCCAUCAAUUACAAUUAACUCUUGUUGUUGUUGCUAAGGAGAGUGACUGUACUUGGUUCUUUCAGCAGCUUGCACACUUGUUAAAUGCUCUUGGCAUGUCUUGUAAAAAGACGAGAAUGCUUCGAAUAGCUCAGGCUGAAGAACUCAUUGAUGCACUGGAAUUGGAAGAAGUAGAAACAGGGAGUGGGUUGAAUCAGGAAAUGGGUUUGGGAAGGCCAUGUGAUACAUGUUGGGGCUCUCACUUCAAAACUAUGAACCAUGCCAUCUCUAUGUAUGGUGCACUACGACAAGUCCUUCGCAAGAUUGGAGACGAGUACCAUUGUGCGGAGGCACAAGCGGCUCUAUCCAUAGAGACAAUAUUUCGAUCAUUUGAGUUUGUUUUCAUGGCACACUUGAUGCAAGAAAUAUUUGGAUACACAGAUGAGUUGUGUAGAGCUUUGCAAAAGCAAGAUGAAGAUAUUGUACAUGCUAUUGAGCUUGUUAGUGACACAAAGUAUUACUUGGAGGCUUUGAGGACCGAUGCUGGAUAGGAUGAUUUUCUCACAAAGGUCACAUCUUUUUGUACAAAGCAUAAAAUCAAAGUUGUUGAUAUGGUGGGUCCUUACUUUCCCGUUGGCCGGCCUAGAAGGGUUUUAUGUAAUGGUGUGAUCAAUUACCACCACUUCAAGGUUGAUAUGUUUGUGGGUGUCAUUGAUAGGCAAAUCAGUGAGCUGAAUGGCAGGUUUGAUGAGGUAAACACGGAGCUACUUUCUUGCAUGGCAGCAUUUUGUCCACUUCAUCUAUUUGCUGCUUAUGACCAAGAGAAGUUGGUUAGGCUUGCUACAAAGUUUUAUGCUUCCAAUUUUACAAGUGAUGAACUGACAAGACUUCCAUGGCAACUAAACAUGUAUGUUACUAAUGUGCGUAGAGAUGAAAGGUUUCAAAACCUGAAAAAUCUAUGCCAGCUUUCAGUUAUGCUUGUUGAGAAAAACAAGCAUGAACAAUAUCAUAUUGUUUACAAGCUUCUUAA